UAUGUUUUAGUAUAUUAUGUACGUAAGUUUUUGAUACUUAAGGAGAUAGAUUAAUUCUAUUAAAUGUAA
rnacentral:tRNA from 1 species